rnacentral:tRNA from 1 species
AUCUGGCUGGCUCAGUUGGUAGAGCAUGAUACCCUUGAUCUCAGGGUCGUGAGUUCAAGCCCCAUGUCGGGUG